GACGAACGCUGGCGGCGUGCCUAAUACAUGCAAGUCGAACGCAGUGGGGACGGGUGAGUAACACGUGGGUAACCUCCCAUCAGAGGGGAUAACACUUGGAACAAGGUGCUAAACCGAUACUGAUGGAUGAACCCGCGGUGCAUAAGCUAGUUGGUGGGGUAACUGCUCACCAAGGCCACGAUGCAUACCCGACCUGUGAGGGUGAUCGGCCACACUGGGACUGAGACACGGCCCAGACUCCUACGGGAGGCAGCAGUAGGGAAUCUUCGGCAAUGGACGAAAGUCUGACCGAGCAACGCCGCGUGAGUGAAGAAGGUUUUCGGAUCGUAAAACUCUGUUGUUAGAGAAGCGGUAUCUAACCAGAAAGCCACGGCUAACUACGUGCCAGCCGCCGCGGUAAUUC
rnacentral:rRNA from 1 species